rnacentral:rRNA from 1 species
GACGAACGCUGGCGGCGUGCUUAACACAUGCAAGUCGAGCGGUAAGGCCCUUUCGGGGGUACACGAGCGGCGAACGGGUGAGUAACACGUGGGUGACCUGCCCUCAGCUCUGGGAUAAGCCUGGGAAACCGGGCUAAUACUGGAUAUGACUCCAUGACGCAUGUUGUGGGGUGGAAAGCCUUGUGCGGCUGAGGAUGGGCCCGCGGCCUAUCAGCUUGUUGGUGGGGUGANGGCCUACCAAGGCGACGACGGGUAGCCGGCCUGAGAGGGCGACCGGCCACACUGGGACUGAGACACGGCCCAGACUCCUACGGGAGGCAGCAGUGGGGAAUCUUGCGCAAUGGGCGAAAGCCUGACGCAGCGACGCCGCGUGAGGGAUGACGGCCU